UUCUUUUUCAUUUCUUCCAUCCAAGAAAACAUCUACCAUCGUUUCAUCUCCAUCUUUGAUUCGAUCUAAGUUACUUCGUGAGUUUUGACUCUCGAAUUACAGGGUAUAAUUAAAUUCAUUACUUUUUCUUUACACAAAAUCUUUUUGAGAAAACUGUUAAAUCCGAAAAGGGGAGAAGCUGCUAGUCGAAGCAAUUCGGUGUGUAAAUGGGGUUGAUAAAAUUCUCAAUCUUAUGAUUCAGUUUUGACCCAUGAGUUUUUCGAACUGAUUAAUCAAUUCAAUUAGGUUGCCUAUACAAUCAAACCGAAGCAUAUAUACGAAGACAUCAUAAUAUCGAUAAGAUGAGUAGUGGUUUUUAAAAAAAAAUAUUAGAUUGUUUUAUUAUGAAGAAUAUAAACUUAUUGCUUAAUUUGUUUCCCUUUAGACUUCAGGAUAUUCAGGAUAUCAAAUGAGAUGUACUUUCCUGUAGACGAAGCGACAAACAGUAAGGAUGGAUAGUAUACCUCAUCUAAAUGACCAUCCAGAAGCUGAAGAGAAGAUUGUUAAAUGACCAUCCGGAAAAGACGGAGUGAUUGUGGGAGCCAUCGGAGAAGGUUUGGUAAUAGGGAGAGGGAUGAAGCUAAAAAUAGAUUUGGAAUCUGUUUGGAUCCGAGUAUCGAUUCCAGAUCCGAAUAGCAAGACCUGAUCCGAAUUCAUAUAUAUCGGAUAUCAAAUGGAUCCGCGCGUGUCAUCUAACUAAAAGAUCCGAUUGCAAAUCCGAUUGCAAAAUUUCGGGUUAAUUCAAAAAUUAUACCCGACUCAAUAAGAUAUAUUGUCACAUUUAACCUUUGCUUAGUUGUUUUUGGUCGUUGGUCUCAGGGUCAUUUUCGUCCAAAGGAGAAGUUGUACUUUUUUUUUACUAAUAUAGGGAUGUCACAUAAAUAUACCCGGGGAAAAAAAAUCGUUAAAUAAAUAAAUCGAGUUGUACACAUGUGACAAAAUUCCCAAAAUAAGUCCACCACGUACGCUUUUGUCUAUGUGUUUUAGUGUGCAUCUACACAUGUUACUAUUUGUUGAUAUGUUGAAUGUAAUUAGAGUAAGAUACUUGUAAUUUGUUUUCAAGAAGAAAAAAUGUUAGCGA